AUUGAACGCUGGCGGCAGGCCUAACACAUGCAAGUCGAGCGGGGUUUUCGGACCUAGCGGCGGACGGGUGAGUAAUGCGUAGGAAGCUACCCGAUAGAGGGGGAUACCAGUUGGAAACGACUGUUAAUACCGCAUAAUGUCUACGGACCAAAGUGUGGGACCUUCGGGCCACAUGCUAUCGGAUGCGCCUACGUGGGAUUAGCUAGUUGGUGAGGUAAUGGCUCACCAAGGCGACGAUCUCUAGCUGGUUUGAGAGGAUGAUCAGCCACACUGGAACUGAGACACGGUCCAGACUCCUGCGGGAGGCAGCAGUGGGGAAUAUUGGACAAUGGGCGCAAGCCUGAUCCAGCCAUGCCGCGUGUGUGAAGAAGGCCUUCGGGUUGUAAAGCACUUUCAGCGAGGAGGAAGGGUUGUGUGUUAAUAGUACACAGCCUUGACGUUACUCGCGGAAGAAGCACCGGCUAACUCUGUGCCAGCCGCCGCAGUAA
rnacentral:rRNA from 1 species